rnacentral:rRNA from 1 species
CCUACGGGAGGCAGCAGUGAGGAAUAUUGGUCAAUGGCCGGAAGGCUGAACCAGCCAUGCCGCGUGAAGGUCAGUGCCCUAUGGGCGUUAAACUUCUUUUGUGCGGGAGCAAUAAUGGUCACGUGUGGCCAGACGAGAGUACCGUACGAAUAAGCAUCGGCUAACUCCGUGCCAGCAGCCGCGGUAAUACGGGGGAUGCAAGGGUUAUCCGGAUUUAUUGGGUUUAAAGGGUGCGUAGGCUGUGAGGUAAGUCAGCGGGGAAAUGCCCCCGCUCAACGGGGUGAAGUGCCAUUGAUACUGCCUUGCUGGAGUGCGGAUGCCGUGGGAGGAAUGUGUGGUGUAGCGGUGAAAUGCAUAGAUAUCACACAGAACACCGAUUGCGAAGGCAUCUCACGAAUCCGCGAUUGACGCUGAUGCACGAAAGCGUGGGUAUCAAACAGGAUUAGAUACCCGAGUAGUC